AUGUCCCCAGCCAGCUGGACCCAGGACCUGUCCAGCCGUACUGGACCCAACAGAACAGUGGAGAUUUGCAGUAGCAAAUGGAUCACCGAGGAAAUAAAUAAGAUGCUGUGGAAAUAUAUGGUGAGUAUAGAGAAAAAGGGAAUUGGUCUUGCACAUUGUAGAUAAACUUGAAUAAUGGGGUCACAUACUGCAAGCUUUGUAGUCCAAUUUCAUUUCCUUCACACAUCAUUCAGUUGUAUAAAAGCAAUUCAUCCAGUUAUCACCUCCUAAAUCUCCUUCUACAUUGUUGUAGGCAUUGAUGGCUCUUAUCUCAUUACCAUAUGCUGCUGCUGGUCAGGAGCUAUUCUUUGUGAGCAGUAUUACCCUGGUAACAAAAUAAAAACAAAUGAAAAAGGAAAAAGAUGCAUAAUUUAAUGUGGCUGUUUCAAAGAUAAUUCUUGAUUACUAUUUUUUUAGAUCUAUUUUCAGACUGCAGUAAGGAAUGAGAAGGUACCUUGCAGUGAGACUUGUUACGUCAUGUGAUUUCCAAACAAAUGUUCACAGAAAAUGGUAUUUUUUAAAAUAAGCACUGGAAACAAAAGCUUGACAUUCCUGUUGAUUUUUCCUUUCUCCCCAUGCAUCUUCAUAUCAAAGGAAUAAAAAGAAAUGAGAUUCCAACACCAAUUCCUGUCACUACAUAAAACAGCAAUUUAAUGCCACAGUCUUUUUUUUUUUUUUUUUUUUCACUGCAGAAG
rnacentral:lncRNA from 1 species